rnacentral:rRNA from 1 species
AAUAAACGCUGGCGGCGUGCCUAACACAUGCAAGUCGAGCGAGAAAGUCCUUCGGGAUAAGUACAGCGGCGGACGGGUGAGCAACGCGUGAGAAUCUGCCCUUUAGUGAAGAAUACCUUCGAGAAAUCGAGGUUAAUACUGCAUACGUCCCUUCGGGGAGAAAGAUGGCCUCUUUGCUGUCGCUAAAGGAUGAGCUUGCGUACUAUUAGCUAGUUGGUGGGGUAAUGGCCUACCAAGGCGAUGAUGGUUAACCGGCCUGAGAGGGUGUUCGGUCACAUUGGAACUGAGAAACGGUCCAGACUCCUACGGGAGGCAGCAGUGGGGAAUAUUGCGCAAUGGGCGAAAGCCUGACGCAGCGACGCCGCGUGAAGGAUGAAGGUCUUCGGAUUGUAAACUUCUGUUAAGUGGGAAAAAAGCAUCAUUCCUAAUACGAAUGGUUGAUGAUGGUACCACUAGAGAAAGCACCGGCUAAUCUCGUGCCAGCAGCCGCGGUAAUACGAGAGGUGCAAGCGUUAUUCGGAAUCAUUGGGCGUAAAGGGUGCGUAGACGGCUUGUUUAGUCUGUUGUUAAAUCCUUCGGCUUAACUGAAGAUAUGCAAUGGAAACUGGCAGGCUAGAGUGUGGAAGAGAGAAGUGGAAUUCUUGGAGUAGCGGUAAAAUGCGUAGAUCUCAAGAGGAACACCAAUGGCGAAGGCAGCUUCUUGGUCCACUACUGACGUUGAGGCACGAAAGCGUGGGGAGCAAACAGGAUUAGAUACCCUGGUAGUCCACGCUGUAAACGAUAAUCACUAGACGUUGGUUCUGUUUUACGGGAUCAGUGUCGUAGCUAACGCGUUAAGUGAUUCGCCUGGGAAGUACGGUCGCAAGAUUAAAACUCAAAGAAAUUGACGGGGGUCCGCACAAGCGGUGGAACAUGUGGUUUAAUUCGACACUACGCGAGGAACCUUACCUGGGCUUGACAUGUACUUGACAGCUGUGGAAACACAGUCUUUCGGGCUUCGGUUCGAACAGGUACACAGGUGCUGCAUGGCUGUCGUCAGCUCGUGUCGUGAGAUGUUUAGUUAAGUCCUCUAACGAGCGCAACUCUUGCCUUCAGUUGCAACUUUUAAGUAAUGCACUCUGAAGGGACUGCCUGGGAAACCAGGAGGAAGGUGGGAAUGACGUCAAGUCAGCAUGGCCCUUAUGUCCAGGGCUACACACGUGUUACAAUGGUCGGUACAACGGGUUGCCAAGUCGUAAGGCGGAGCUAAUCCUAUAAAGCCGAUCUAAGUUCAGAUUGAGGUCUGCAACUCGACCUCAUGAAGUUGAAAUCGCUAGUAAUCGCAUAUCAGCAACGAUGCGGUGAAUACGUUCUCGGACCUUGUACACACCGCCCGUCACGCCAUGAAAGCUGUCUGUACCCAAAGACAUUUUAGCCAACUUGAAAAAGAGGCGAAUGUUUAAGGUAUGGGGAGUGAUUGGGGC